CCUACGGGAGGCAGCAGUGGGGGAUAUUGCACAAUGGGGGAAACCCUGAUGCAGCGACGCCGCGUGAGUGAAGAAGUAUUUCGGUAUGUAAAGCUCUAUCAGCAGGGAAGAAAAUGACAGUACCUGACCAAGAAGCCCCGGCUAACUACGUGCCAGCAGCCGCGGUAAUACGUAGGGGGCAAGCGUUAUCCGGAUUUACUGGGUGUAAAGGGAGCGUAGACGGUUAUGUAAGUCUGGAGUGAAAGCCCGGGGCUCAACCCCGGCGAGCCGUUGAAACUGGCUGUCUUGAGAUGUCGAGAGGUAUGCGGAAUGCGCAGUGUAGCGGUGAAAUGCUUAGAUAUUGCGCAGAACUCCGAUUGCGAAGGCAGCAUACCGGCGGCGAUCUGACGCUGAGGCACGAAAGCGUGGGUAUCGAACAGGAUUAGAUACCCCAGUAGUC
rnacentral:rRNA from 1 species